rnacentral:snRNA from 1 species
GGAUAUGUGGGCAAUUUGGCUGUGACAUUUGUAUCCCCAUUGAUCACCACAGUUGAUUUGGCUGAUUGGACUGGCUAGGUAUGUGUCCUCUUUCUUCCUCACCACCCUUUGUGUGUCCCUCUCAAAGCCGCAUGCUUGGUGGAAAAAGAUGACUAUCCAAGAUAGAAGUUGCAUACUGAUCUUCAGACAAAGGUAUAUGAUAGAUGGACUCCUCUGCUAGAACCUCCAAACAAACCUUAAACAGAGAAGUCAGACACAGGAAGACACAGGAAGACCUGACCAUAUCAUGACUUCCAACAAUGCUGUUGUCAGCAUU